CCUGGCUCAGGAUGAACGCUAGCGACAGGCCUAACACAUGCAAGUCGAGGGGCAUCAGGUAUCAGCUUGCUGAUACGCUGGCGACCGGCGCACGGGUGAGUAACGCGUAUGGAAUCUGUCUGUAACAGGGGGAUAACCCGGAGAAAUUCGGACUAAUACCCCAUGCCGCCGGUUUUUUGCAUGAAAGGCCGGCGAAAGGGUAACCGGUUACAGGUGAUCAUGCGUUCCAUUAGCUGGUUGGCGGGGUAACGGCCCACCAAGGCGACGAUGGAUAGGGGUUCUGAGAGGAAGGUCCCCCACACUGGUACUGAGACACGGACCAGACUCCUACGGGAGGCAGCAGUGAGGAAUAUUGGUCAAUGGGCGGAAGCCUGAACCAGCCAAGUCGCGUGAAGGAAGACUGCCCUACGGGUUGUAAACUUCUUUUGUAUGGGAGUAAAAGAGUCCACGUGUGGCUAUUGCAAGUACCAUACGAAUAAGCAUCGGCUAACUCCGUGCCAGCAGCCGCGGUAAUACGGAGGAUGCGAGCGUUAUCCGGAUUUAUUGGGUUUAAAGGGUGCGUAGGCGGCCCUAUAAGUCAGCGGUGAAAUGUUCCGGCUCAACCGGGAAACUGCCGUUGAAACUGUAGGACUAGAGUCCACAAGAGGUAUGCGGAAUGCGUGGUGUAGCGGUGAAAUGCAUAGAUAUCACGCAGAACCCCGAUUGCGAAGGCAGCAUACUGGGGUGAAACAGACGCUGAAGCACGAAAGCGUGGGUAUCGAACAGGAUUAGAUACCCUGGUAGUCCACGCCGUAAACGAUGAAUACUAACUGUUUGCGAUAUACAGUAAGCGGUACAGCGAAAGCGUUAAGUAUUCCACCUGGGGAGUACGCCGGCAACGGUGAAACUCAAAGGAAUUGACGGGGGCCCGCACAAGCGGAGGAACAUGUGGUUUAAUUCGAUGAUACGCGAGGAACCUUACCCGGGCUCAAACGCAGGAGGAAUGCGUAUGAAAGUACGCAGCUAGCAAUAGCCGCCUGCGAGGUGCUGCAUGGUUGUCGUCAGCUCGUGCCGUGAGGUGUCGGCUUAAGUGCCAUAACGAGCGCAACCCUUAUCGAUAGUUACUACCAGGUGAAGCUGAGGACUCAAUCGAGACUGCCAGCGUAAGCUGCGAGGAAGGUGGGGAUGACGUCAAAUCAGCACGGCCCUUACGUCCGGGGCGACACACGUGUUACAAUGGCAGGGACAGCGAGUAGCCAGGCAGCAAUGCCGCGCCAAUCUCGAAACCCUGUCCCAGUUCGGAUCGGAGUCUGCAACUCGACUCCGUGAAGCUGGAUUCGCUAGGAAUCGCGCAUCAGCCAUGGCGCGGUGAAUACGUUCCCGAGCGUUGUACACACCG
rnacentral:rRNA from 1 species